ACAAUAAAGUAACAAUACAUGUGAGGAACCACUACACAUAAAAAAGGGAGUGCCAAUCAAAAAUAAAAUGAAGGAAAUUAUUAAAUUCAAACAUAAAAAUGUACAACAAGGACAAAUAAAUAGCAUUUUAAAAUGGUUUCAUUGAAGCUUAGUUACAUGUAGGUUUGUGUAUCGAGAACCAGAUCCAUUUCAGAACCGCUUACAAAUUUCCAAGAACAGUUGAUUUGAUGAGACGUGUGCAUUUCAGUUCCACUAGAAGACGCGAAAGAUAACUCAAUUCGACACUCGCAUGCUGUUUUCUGUGCUGCAGACACAUUUAAAGGGCGUGCACCCACCUCUCAUACACCAGUGCUGAUUUAAGUUCUUUUGUGGCUUCUUGCACUUAAACGGACAAAUACACUGUUAGACAUUUCUGUAAUUUCUACAGUUAUUUACCAUAUAUCACCCAGUAUUAUACUGCUAAUUCUCUUUACAGUAAAUAACUGUGAUUCCCUUUGCAUUAUGGGAAUUUUCUGUGACGUCAAGCACCACAUACAGUGAUUUACUGUAUUUUUAAAAUUUGCAGUAUACUACUGUAUUUGCUGUAACGGAUCCUCUGGCUCCAUUCCAUCGUGUUUUUUAUUUUCCUAUUUUUGUACAUUUGGUUUGACAUGUUUCGCCUCACACCGCGUGUCUACAACGCUAACAGCCCGCGGCUGUCUAUAUUGGACACACUGAAGCUACCGGACCUUUACAAAAUGCAAACCUUGUGUCAGAAAUAGCGCGAGCGCUUGGACUCGGAGUACUGUACAUAUAACGGGGCAUCAUACUGUCUCUGUCUGGGAUUUGUCGUGUCAAGCCGGAGCAUUCAGUGCAAACAGUGAAUGUAUUGGGUUCUGACUUUUGUUGGAUCGCGUCGUUCGCGUCCGAGGUAGAGACGGAACCAGCGCGGCAGCGCCACAGUCUGCGGCCGGUGUACCGAUGCACCCCAUGAAGACUUCUCCCCGAGAGAGAGAGACCAGCAAGCAAGGUAAAAAAAAUCUUUACCACGGUAAACUGCGUUAACGUUUCAUUUGACAAAAGAUUUUGUUAGAUUAUGGAAUUUAAUAUUUACUGCAAUUUAUGUAUGCGUGUUUUAAAGGUCUCAACUGCACCAAAGCGCCGGUGACUUCUAGCAAGAUUUUUGAGGUAAGUUUAGCUGUAACGUUACUUGAAAUCAUAUUGUUACUUAAAUGUCCUAACAAAAGCAAUGUUUUCUGCCUAUGUUAUUGUAAUACUGGUUUAAAAGCGCGCCACAGCGAAAUUUUGCGGGCCACAAAGUUCAUUGUCAUUGUCAGUAGUAUAGCUGAAGCACAGUUAAUGCAGUCACUAGCAUUGUUGAAUUAGCAAUGUGUGAAGCAAGCAGUGGAUCCACUGGUGCAGACUAGCUAGCAUUAUAAAUUUGCUAACUUUUGAUCAAAUUAGUGACUUUGCAUCAUGUCUAACAUUUUAUUUAUUACAUAGCAAAUGAUGCAAUCAGAAGAUGGACCAUUUUCUAUGUUAUGUCUCACCAGAUUACAUUUAUCCAGGCCGAAGACUCUACCAUUGCAGUCCCGACUGACCAGGAAGGUCCUAAUAUCAGCGCACAGCUUCCCCUUCACUGCAGACAAGCUGAAAUUGGCCAAAUGUCGAUUGCAGUCUCUCUCUCUAUGGAUCUCAGCAUUUUUGGACAGAAUUUAGGAUAUGUAAGUAUUAAAAUUUAAUCUGGCAUAAUUUAAUUUACAGUUCAGCUGAAAUUUUUGAAUAUGCUAU